AAAACGUAAAACGUUGCCCAGUGUUUCUCGCGGUUCGUGAGGAGCACUUUUCAGUUUUCGAUAUGUGGGAAGUGAUGAAAACAGCCAGCUUAUACAUGAACUACAUAUAUGAAGAAACAACGACACUCUCGGGGGUAGUUUGUCGUAGAAUGGUCACCUCUGUUGCGCACGUGUAGAGUGAUCAUUAGCCCACUAUUCAAGUCACGAUGAACGUGAACUAGAAAACCGGCAUUGGCUUUCAGCCUUGUCUUUGCCUCAAGAAAUAUUUUCAGUCAUCCAAGGAAGGCGGAGAUCAUUAAGCGUAUUAAUUACAUGCUGUAUCACAAAUAUGGACCAAGAAGAAUAAGUUCAUUGAUGCACUUCGUUAUGCUGGUAGAACUUAAUACGUUGUCAUAAGUAUUCUUGGAUACCCUCGAUUUAUUCUAGAGUAUUCUUGGAUACCCUCGGAUAACUAGAUUGUAUGCAACCAAACAAUUCUGUAAAGUACUUUUCAUAAUAUCAAUUCACUUAAGCAUGUUGGAUUAUUUUGUAUACGUAUAAAUAAAAAUUGCAUUAUGCAAAUA